UGGGGAAUAUUGCACAAUGGGCGCAAGCCUGAUGCAGCCAUGCCGCGUGUAUGAAGAAGGCCUUCGGGUUGUAAAGUACUUUCAGCGAGGAGGAAGGCGUUGUGGUUAAUAACCGCAGCGAUUGACGUUACUCGCAGAAGAAGCACCGGCUAACUCCGUGCCAGCAGCCGCGGUAAUACGGAGGGUGCAAGCGUUAAUCGGAAUUACUGGGCGUAAAGCGCACGCAGGCGGUCUGUCAAGUCGGAUGUGAAAUCCCCGGGCUCAACCUGGGAACUGCAUUCGAAACUGGCAGGCUAGAGUCUUGUAGAGGGGGGUAGAAUUCCAGGUGUAGCGGUGAAAUGCGUAGAGAUCUGGAGGAAUACCGGUGGCGAAGGCGGCCCCCUGGACAAAGACUGACGCUCAGGUGCGAAAGCGUGGGGAGCAAACA
rnacentral:rRNA from 1 species